rnacentral:rRNA from 1 species
AAACCUGAGGAACCCGAAAGAUCGAAUGGGAAGAUUCAGCGUCAGCGGCGCUAACUCGGCGGAUCGUGCGUCGUCUCGGACUUCGGUCUUGGGACGCGUAAUCUUUCCAUGCCUUGUUUGGCGUCGUCGUCGUGCACUUCUCCCCUAGUAGAACGUCGCGACCCGUUGGGUGUCGGUCUACGGUCCGAGCGGUAGACUGUCGCGUCGCUUCGGCGCACGCGGCAGACCCUCGGUCACCCGGCCGGCUGCCCGGCGGUCGAACUUAUAAGGUAUCUUGCCGCAAUUAUCGAACUGCGUCGGGCCCGUCGCAAGCGAGGCCAGUGUCUUACGGAGUUACGGACCCGGUGCCGUACCCGUGGCUGGCCAGCUGUUGGCAGGCGGAGUCCUUUGACGGGCAAUACACAAUGAUACCGGUCUGCGACGCUACUGCUUUGGGUACUCUCAGGACCCGUCUUGAAACACGGACCAAGGAGUCUAACAUGUGCGCGAGUCAUUGGGACUCUAAAACCUAAAGGCGCAAUGAAAGUGAAGGUCGUACUAAGGUCGACCGAGGGAGGAUGGGCCGCGUUUACGCGCGGCUCCGCACUCCCGGGGCGUCUCGUUCUCAUUGCGAGAAGAGGCGCACCCAGAGCGUACACGUUGGGACCCGAAAGAUGGUGAACUAUGCCUGGUCAGGACGAAGUCAGGGGAAACCCUGAUGGAGGUCCGUAGCGAUUCUGACGUGCAAAUCGAUCGUCGGAACUGGGUAUAGGGGCGAAAGACUAAUCGAACCAUC